GCCAGGCAUGAUGGCACGUGCCUGUAGUCCCAGCUACUAGCGGGGUGGGAGGAUGGCUUGAGUCCAGGACUUCUAGGCUGUAGUGCACUGUGCCAAUUGGAUGUCCACACUAAGUUCAGCAUCGAUGUGACCUCCUGGGAGUGGGGGACCACCAGGUUGCCUAAGGACAGGUGAACCCACCCAGGCAGGAAAUAAAGCAGGUCCAAACUCUCAUGCUAAUCAGUAGUGGGAUCACGCCUGUGAAUAGCCACUGCACUCCAGCCUGGGCAACAUAGCAAGACCCCAUCUCU
ensembl:misc_RNA Metazoa_SRP Metazoan signal recognition particle RNA